rnacentral:rRNA from 1 species
GACGAACGCUGGCGGCGUGCUUAACACAUGCAAGUCGAACGAUGAUCUUCCAGCUUGCUGGGGGGGAUUAGUGGCGAACGGGUGAGUAACACGUGAGUAACCUGCCCUGGACUCUGGGAUAACCCCGAGAAAUCGGAGCUAAUACCGGAUAGGACCCUGUACCGCAUGGUGUGGGGUGGAAAGUUUUUCGGUUUGGGAUGGACUCGCGGCCUAUCAGCUUGUUGGUGAGGUAAUGGCUCACCAAGGCGUCGACGGGUAGCCGGCCUGAGAGGGUGACCGGCCACACUGGGACUGAGACACGGCCCAGACUCCUACGGGAGGCAGCAGUGGGGAAUAUUGCACAAUGGGCGCAAGCCUGAUGCAGCAACGCCGCGUGCGGGAUGACGGCCUUCGGGUUGUAAACCGCUUUUAGUAGGGAAGAAGCCUUUCGGGGUGACGGUACCUGCAGAAAAAGGACCGGCUAACUACGUGCCAGCCGCCGCAGUAAGAC